rnacentral:rRNA from 1 species
GAUGAACGCUGGCGGCGUGCCUAAUACAUGCAAGUCGAGCGAACGGACGAGAAGCUUGCUUCUCUGAUGUUAGCGGCGGACGGGUGAGUAACACGUGGAUAACCUACCUAUAAGACUGGGAUAACUUCGGGAAACCGGAGCUAAUACCGGAUAAUAUUUUGAACCGCAUGGUUCAAAAGUGAAAGACGGUCUUGCUGUCACUUAUAGAUGGAUCCGCGCUGCAUUAGCUAGUUGGUAAGGUAACGGCUUACCAAGGCAACGAUGCAUAGCCGACCUGAGAGGGUGAUCGGCCACACUGGAACUGAGACACGGCCCAGACGCCUACGGGAGGCAGCAGUAGGGAAUCUUCCGCAAUGGGCGAAAGCCUGACGGAGCAACGCCGCGUGAGUGAUGAAGGGCUUCGGAUCGUAAAACUCUGUUAUUAGGGAAGAACAUAUGUGUAAGUAACUGUGCACAUCUUGACGGUACCUAAUCAGAAAGCCACGGCUAACUACGU